rnacentral:rRNA from 1 species
GUGCGAUCGCCCGUGAGGGCGGUCACGAAGCCCUGACGAGUAGGAGGGUCGCGGCGGUGAGCGCAGAAGGGCUGGCCGCGAGGCCGUCUGGAGCCGCCGUCGGUGCAGAUCUUGGUGGUAGUAGCAAAUACUCCAGCGAGGCCCUGGAGGACUGACGUGGAGAAGGGUUUCGUGUGAACAGCCGUUGCACACGAGUCAGUCGAUCCUAAGCCCUAGGCGAAAGCCGAUGUCGAUGCGGUGUAGUUUUUACCAAAUAUAUAUUUAUAUAUGUAUGUAUGUAU